GUGACAUCAGCCAGGUCAGUUUUUCUGUCCAGAGCCUCACAGUCCACCUGAGGCUUUUAGGUCAUUAAGCUUUCAUUCCAGGACCUGACAACAGAUCAGAAGAUGGUACGAGACACUCUCCCACUGGCUGCUUCCUGUGACGGACAGUGUGAACGGUUGUCUCCAGAAGCUAAGCGGACAUAGGAGGAGAGCUUUAACUUGAUUGGCUGGGCUGCAUUGCUAUGGAAUUUAGAACCCGGUACCAGCCCCUUAGCCAUCAUCAACUCCCCUGAUUCCGAAAGCGGCCCUGCCCCUGGAGGAGACUGCGGCUUCCCCUCCUCCGAGCCUUUUUGUCUUCUCUCUUUCCUGUACUGGAGCGAAUGAAACCCAGAAUCCAGUCCCUCAGGCUCUGAUUGGACUCCUAGAAUCUGUUCUGGCUACCCACCAGCCCACUUGGAAUUUCAAUACGGCAGCAGAUAAGGGGUGUCUGACAGUCAAAUAGCCGGCUCUCUCUCAUGGCAGGUCUCAGAGGGGUUGCAAGGCACCCCACUAAUUUGGCCAAGAGGUCUGCAGGAAACGCAGGAUGAAGAGCAGGAGGGAGAAGAUGAGUAAGGACGUCAGGACCUUGAGGGGUUGGUCCACCCACUGAGACAGUGUGCCUGAGCUAAUUGGAGCUCACCAACUCCAGUUGAACUGGGACUGAA